rnacentral:lncRNA from 1 species
AUAUGAUCCUUUCCUUAAAACAACAAAAUAGGAAAUGUCACAUUACCUGUCCAAUCUCCUCCCACAAAGUGUCAUUAAAAGUCGAAGCAGUAGUAAUAACUUGAGGAAAUUGUGUCGCGCCUAGAAACGUUGGAAGAAACUUCGUCCCGGGGCCCACGUCUGAUACGCCGUGCAAGGCCUCGGACCACCACUCGUACCCUUGAAUUCCUAGUCGUGGCACCGCGGCUGCGUUAUUCACUAACAAUCUUACUUUUUCUUGCAAAGUUAAUCUUCCUAGCAAAUCUCUAACCCGAGCUCUUAUUGGUAGGUUUACCCGACAAAACGGGAGGUCUUUAGUGACCCGAUUAUUCGGGUCACAUGCAAACGGCGGCCUCGACUCUCCGUUGAAGAGAACUAAGAAUCCGGUUAGGAGGAAGAAGAGGGAGGAUGGUGAAAGAAUGCAUUUGGUUGAAGAGUGAAUGGGUAUUUAUAGGGUCAUGUUACAUGAUGGUGGCGUAUAGAUAGUGGGUUAGUUUUUGUGAACAUGAUUGGAUUUACACGUCUCUUUAUUAAGAUGUUUGCCACUUGAUAUCUUUGCUUCAUUUUCAUAACCGAUUAUCUCUGUAUUAUGGCUUUUUUCCUUCCAAGAUACCCAUAAAUUAUUAUUUU